rnacentral:sRNA from 1 species
AAACCGCUGCUGCUUUUGCUCUAUGUGUCCAAAUUUCAGCGUUU